GGGCUGACCAUGGGCUGACCAUU
rnacentral:siRNA from 1 species